GAUGAACGCUAGCUACAGGCUUAACACAUGCAAGUCGAGGGGUAACGAGAGGAAAGCUUGCUUUCCUUGUCGACGACCGGCGCACGGGUGAGUAACGCGUAUCCAACCUGCCCCCAACUAGGGAAUAACCUUGCGAAAGUAAGACUAAUACCCUAUAAUUUCCUCAGAUGGCAACUGACGAGGAAUAAAGAUUUAUCGGUUGUGGAUGGGGAUGCGUCUGAUUAGCUUGUUGGCGGGGUAACGGCCCACCAAGGCAACGAUCAGUAGGAGUUCUGAGAGGAAGGUCCCCCACAUUGGAACUGAGACACGGUCCAAACUCCUACGGGAGGCAGCAGUGAGGAAUAUUGGUCAAUGGGCGGAAGCCUGAACCAGCCAAGUAGCGUGCAGGAUGACGGCCCUAUGGGUUGUAAACUGCUUUUAUACAGGAAUAAAGUUAGCCACGUGUGGUUAUUUGUAGGUACUGUAUGAAUAAGGACCGGCUAAUUCCGUGCCAGCAGCCGCGGUAA
rnacentral:rRNA from 1 species